UAACUGAUUUCUGGUGGGAGGUUAGUGUUGCCAAAUUCCAGGGUGCAAAUUAGAGCAAAAAAUGGCUCCAUUGUCCAGAAGCCCUGAGCCAGCCCGUCUGGGGUCACGCCAGGUUAGCCUCGCUCACCUGUCAGGCUUUGCUCUUCCUGGCCCCGGAUCUACGUAGAACAAUGCGCUUUGAACACACUCAGACUCUAAAGGGGUGGCCAGCGCUUCAGGUAGAACUGGCAGGGGAAUGAUCCUCUUUCACGACCUCUUUUCUCUUCAGGGAGACAGAAACCCUGCUCCCGGGUUCAGCCUCCUGUUUCUUCAGCACGUGACCCUGUGCGCGCUCCUGAAACCACCCGACCCGCGUCUGUUUCGACACCCACGAGCGAAAUCGGCGGCCUUCACUGCAUAACUCGGGCUUGAUGAACCAGGAGAGGGGCUGCUACUUACCCCAGAUUUGGCAGUGUGUGUGUGUGUGUGUGUGUGUGUGUGUGUGUGUGUGUGUGUUGGGACAGAGCCGGGUGUCCACUUCCCUCUGCACACGUCUUGGAAUCGCUCCGAGCCUGCUACUUUUUGCAGUACCCCAGCGGCUGGAAGGUACUGUUUAAUUCAGCUUUUAUGACUUAGACUGAGCGGAAGACAAUACCUUAUACAAGGCCGUCUCCUCUGGCAGAACUGAAGUUGGGGGUCAUCUCUGCAAGAGGGAGAUUGGUUGGGCUCAGUGACUAAACCUCGGAAGUGGUGCCUGUGUCCAUCAACAGGGGCCAGAACAGCCCUCCUGGUUUCCAGGAGUUUCUACUUGCUAGAAACGUGGCCUUGGGUGGUCACAGGGCAACUAUGGAGUUACAAGAGUAAAGAAUGGCCCAGCGUGGUGGCACAUCCUUGGAAUCCCAGCACUCGAGAGGCCGAGGCAGGAGAAUAGCCAAGAAUCUGAGCCGGCCUCUGCUACGAAGUGAGUUCAAGGCCAGCCUGAAUUAUACGCAAGGCUUACAGGCGUGCAUCAACACACUGGGUGACGCUGAGCAUCUAGGAAAAUUACGAAGGGGCAUCUGAAGCCUUGCCCUGCUAAGCUGGAGUCCUUUCUGACUCUUUGAAGAUGGCUCUUGUCCCUGCUGUGACUUCUGAAUA